rnacentral:tRNA from 1 species
GUGUUGGUGGUUCAGUGGUAGAAUCCCCAGCUUUCAUGCAGGAGAGCCGGGUUUGAUUCCCAGCCGAUGCA